AUGAUGAGACUACAUGAUUAUGGUUAGUACUGAUUUAAUCAUGAUUAUAUACACAGUGUAGCGACUAGGGCGGACUGAUUGC